GACGUAGGGUCCGAGCGUUGUCCGGAGUUACUGGGCGUAAAGGGCGCGUAGGCGGCUUUGUGCGUCACACGUGAAAGCCCCUGGCUUAACCAGGGAGGGUCGUGUGAAACGGCGAAGCUGGAGGCAGAGAGAGGCUGGUGGAAUUCCAGAGUAGUGGUGAAAUGCGUAGAUAUCGGGAGGAACACCGGUGGCGAAGGCGCAGCUGGCUCUGACCUGACGCUGACGGCG
rnacentral:rRNA from 1 species